GGUUUGUUGGCCAGUGGUUAGGCAGCAGUGCUUUCACCACCAUGGCGCAGGUUCGAUUCCUGGAACGGGAACCA